rnacentral:rRNA from 1 species
UACAGGGGGGGCAAGCGUUGUUCGGAAUCACCGGGCUUAAAGGGCGCGUAGGCGGCUUGCCAAGUCAGGGGUGAAAUCCUGCAGCUUAACUGUAGAAGGGCCUUUGAUACUGGCGAGCUCGAGGGAGGUAGGGGUAUGUGGAACUUCCGGUGGAGCGGUGAAAUGCGUUGAUAUCGGAAGGAACGCCGGUGGCGAAAGCGACGUACUGGACCUCUUCUGACGCUGAGGCGUGAAAGCUAGGGGAGCAAACGGG